UCAUCCUUUAAGGUGAUCACCUGAUCCAGACACUUUAAUUUUUCAUGCCUAUAAUUUGUGAAUAAGUGUUGAAUAAGAAAUUACCAGAUCUAUUAUCAGAUCUAUUAGAGUCAGAGACAUCAAUAUUAACUCAUGUAUAUAUUGUAUACACACAGAGAAAAGCAACUACAGGACAUAUGUCUAUAUAUGAGUUAGUACACACACUACCCGGCUCUGUUCUCCAAGGGGACCUAGAAGAAAUGAUACUCCAGUAACUGAGCCUACCCAGAUCUUGGUUUCUAAGUAUUAUUCUCCAGAAAAGGAAUCAGGGCUCCUUUGAGAAAUGGAUGAUUCUAGGGCUAGGACACAGAAAGUGUGAGAUGAACUUGAAUCAUCCUGUAGUACAGAAAAUAAACAAGAAAUCUAAUGACAAAAGGAUAAAGGCAUGUCAGAAGAGCACAAAGCCUUGGACUGGAG
rnacentral:lncRNA from 1 species